GACGAACGCUGGCGGCGUGCUUAACACAUGCAAGUCGAACGAAGAGCGACGGAAGCUUGCUUCUAUCAAUCUUAGUGGCGAACGGGUGAGUAACGCGUAAUCAACCUGCCCUUCAGAGGGGGACAACAGUUGGAAACGACUGCUAAUACCGCAUACGAUCUAAUCUCGGCAUCGAGGAUAGAUGAAAGGUGGCCUCUACAUGUAAGCUAUCACUGAAGGAGGGGAUUGCGUCUGAUUAGCUAGUUGGAGGGGUAACGGCCCACCAAGGCGAUGAUCAGUAGCCGGUCUGAGAGGAUGAACGGCCACAUUGGGACUGAGACACGGCCCAGACUCCUACGGGAGGCAGCAGUGGGGAAUCUUCCGCAAUGGACGAAAGUCUGACGGAGCAACGCCGCGUGAGUGAUGACGGCCUUCGGGUUGUAAAGCUCUGUUAAUCGGGACGAAAGGCCUUCUUGCGAACAGUUAGAAGGAUUGACGGACCGAAUAGAAAGCCAC
rnacentral:rRNA from 1 species